rnacentral:rRNA from 1 species
ACCAGCAGCCAUAUCACCCUGCAAAUCUCAACUGGCAACCCACUGAAGUUAAGCAGUUGUGAACCUGGUCAGUACCUGGAUAGGAGACCUCCUGGGAAAAACUAAGGUUGGUGCUGGAA